GACGAACGCUGGCGGCGUGCUUAACACAUGCAAGUCGAACGGAAAGGCCUGCUUUCCCUUGUGGAUUGCGGGUACUCGAGUGGCGAACGGGUGAGUAACACGUGAGUGAUCUGCCCCCAACUUGGGUAUAAGCCUGGGAAACUGGGUCUAAUUCCCGAUAGGACUGCAGGGUGGUGCCUGUGGUGGAAAACGAUUUUCUAGUGGGUGGGGAUGAGCUCGCGGCCUAUCAGCUUGUUGGUGGGGUAAUGGCCUACCAAGGCGGCGACGGGUAGCCGGCCUGAGAGGGUGGACGGCCACAUUGGGACUGGGAUACGGCCCAGACUCCUACGGGAGGCAGCAGUGGGGAAUAUUGCACAAUGGGCGGAAGCCUGAUGCAGCGACGCCGCGUGGGGGAUGACGGCCUUCGGGUUGUAAACUCCUUUCGACCGCGAGGAAGCCACCUGGUUGGAAGGGUGGUGACGGUAGUGGUAGAAGAAGCACCGGCUAACUACGUG
rnacentral:rRNA from 1 species